GAUUAACGUUGGCGGCGUGCAUAACACAUGCAAGUUGAGCGUGGCUUUGGAUUUAUUCAAAGUCUAGCAGCGGACGGCUGAGUAAUGCACAGGAACGUACCUCAAAGUGGGGCAUAGCUCCGGGAAACCGGAGGUAAUACCGCAUGUGAUCGCAAGAUUAAAGCCGUAAGGCGCUUUGAGAACGGCCUGUGUCCUAUCAGAUAGUUGGUGCGGGUAACGGCCCACCAAGCCGACGACGCGUAGCUGGUCUGAGAGGACGGCCAGCCACAUUGGGACUGAGACACUG
rnacentral:rRNA from 1 species